rnacentral:rRNA from 1 species
UACGUAGGGUGCGAGCGUUAAUCGGAAUUACUGGGCGUAAAGCGUGCGUAGGCGGUUCGCUGUGUCCGAUGUGAAAGCCCCGGGCUUAACCUGGGAAUGGCAUUGGAAACUGGCGGGCUUGAGUGUGGCAGAGGGGGGUGGAAUUCCGCGUGUGGCAGUGAAAUGCGUAGAGAUGCGGAGGAACACCGAUGGCGAAGGCAGCCCCCUGGGUUAACACUGACGCUCAGGCACGAAAGCGUGGGGAGCAAACAGG